rnacentral:lncRNA from 1 species
ACAUUUGAAAUUUUUUAAAAUUUCACAGUAGAAGCCAUGAACCACUUUAGAACAAACAUAAGAACUAUAAGAACUGACAAUGGGACUGAAUUCAAAUCCCAUAUUUUUCAAAGCUUCUUACAAAAACAUGGUAUAAAACAUCAACAUGUCCAUAUACACCGCAAUAAAAUAAAUAGCAGAAAGAAAACAUUGACAUCUGCUAGAUAUAGCUAGAAGUAUCUACUAGUAGAUUACUGACUUUUAGCGACGGCCAGAAACCGUCUCUAAUCAUCAAAAACCGUUGCUAAUUGAUGAUUGACGACAGUUUUUGGCCGUCUCUAAUCCUUCCCCGAAACUCGCCUCGCUGAUUUUUUGAAGACGGCCUUCAUAUCCGUCUCUAAUUAUUAAAGAAGGAUUAGAGAAGGUAUUAACAAUUUUAGAUUAGAUGGGAUUAGGGCCUAGCUGUCUCUAAUCCAUCGCUUUUUUUUUCCGCGCCAAUUUUUUGGCACCUAAAAUUUUAUUGCCGUCCCUCAGCUGUCUCUAAUUUUCAAAAUGGCCCUCCCUCAGCUGUCUCUAAUUUUUGUAACUUCCUGUUUCAACUUGCCGUCUCUAAGUCGUCGCUAGUCCCUCUCUAGUUUUUUUUUAGAACUUCC